rnacentral:lncRNA from 1 species
AAUUAAAAUACAGAUGAUACAAAAUUAAACAUACAUAUUUAAGCCAUCAUCUUUUUUCAAAACACGUUGUGUGUGCCUCCUGGCAGUUGGUGAAAUUUCUGAUGUAUUCAACAACAUUGAUCUCCACUUUGUCUCUGCAUGUUCUCCUUUUAUUUUAAUUUGUACCAUUUUUUUCCCAAAUAAAAGUACUUGCACUCACUUAGAGAUGCUGAAAUAAAUUGAUUGGUAUAAAGUAAGGUAUCUGAUUAACCAAAUUUACACUAAAGCCAAUUGGCCUUUUCAUGGAUUAUAACACUAUGCACAACCACUCCAUACUCAAACAUGCAUUUCUUUCUCCAAUGUUAUAUGAUGCAGCACCUAGCUCUUUACAGGACAUUUUUUUCUUGGUGGGUCACAGAUUUUCCUUCUGUUGGUGAUGGCCUAGGCCACUAUAGGGCCAUCUGCAAGUCCUUGCAGUAUUUGGUUGUCAUGAAGCAAUGGCUGUGUGUUGUGCUGCUGGUGGUGUCCUGGGCUGGAGGAUUUUUGCACAUAGUAAUUCAACUUGGACUUAUUUAUGGGCUCCCAUCUUAUGACCCCAAUGUCAUUGGUCAUUUUAUUUGUGACAUGGACCCCUUAAUGAAGCUUGUCUGUGACUACACACUCAACAGAUUUGCCUAUUUUGCAGGUCAUGAUUAAAUACUAGGUUUUAUGUAUUUCACUUAUGCUCAGACUGGACUGUUUCCUUUUGGUGAUUCGACCUCAUUAUUCUUUUGUCAUUUUUUCCCUAGAGGACUUGGUUCUAUAAAUCUUGCUAUACAUAGUUAUUAUCCCUGUGGCAUCUCUAGAGAUACGGAGCCUACCAUCAGAAUUAUGAUAAAGGUCCCAAUGAAUUUAAUUAGAGAAGAAUCACCUUUGGAGAUGCACCAGUUGAAUGACUCAACAAUAUGUGUUGCAGUUCAAAUGUGGAUAAAGUAUCCACAGACUUCUGCCCUUACUUCAAAGAGUAUUUGUUUAUAACAGUAUUCACAUGACUGAUUUUUAGGAAUUAAAAUGAUAGACUCAAAACAUGAUAAAAUACGGAUUAAAAUUAUUCUCCAUCCUUCAGAUUA